rnacentral:rRNA from 1 species
UAGGGAAUCUUCGGCAAUGGGGGCAACCCUGACCGAGCAACGCCGCGUGAGUGAAGAAGGUUUUCGGAUCGUAAAGCUCUGUUGUAAGAGAAGAACGUGUGUGAGAGUGGAAAGUUCACACAGUGACGGUAACUUACCAGAAAGGGACGGCUAACUACGUGCCAGCAGCCGCGGUAAUACGUAGGUCCCGAGCGUUGUCCGGAUUUAUUGGGCGUAAAGCGAGCGCAGGCGGUUUAAUAAGUCUGAAGUUAAAGGCAGUGGCUUAACCAUUGGUCGGUUUGGAAGCUGUUAAACUUGAGUGCAGAAUGGGAUAGUGGAAUUCCAUGUGUAGCGGUGAAAUGCGUAGAUAUAUGGGGGAACACCGGUGGCGAAAGCGGGUCUCUGGUCUGUAACUGACGCUGAGGCUCGAAAGGGUGGGGAGCAAACAGG